ACUUCAUCAAGAGCGGUCGAGGGAACGGCCCUGCGACACCGCGGCAACCACCCAUCCGGGCAGGUGCCAAAUCCGUCCGGCGUGACCGCGCCGGGAAGAUGAGGC
rnacentral:ncRNA from 2 species